rnacentral:lncRNA from 1 species
AAAUAACAAAAAAACACCUAAGAUAAAGAGUCGUUGUGCUCCGUCAUAUAGAAUAAUUAAGUGGACGGUGCAGAUUUUUCUUGCUAAGAGCAAAUACUUUAUUCUGUUUGUCGUAGACCCGGAGUCCGGAACAGAUGAUAGAAAAACACAUGCAUUAAAAAAAAGUCGAUAGAUGAGAGGAUACAUAGAAAUUCAAGAAAUAACGUCAAACAGACGAUCACGUAAUUAAUUAUUACAAAACGAACAUUCAUUAUAAAAAUGCAUAAUUAAGUAUUAAUAACUAAUGACCGUAUUUCUUAUUUUAUAAUGGUAUAAUAUGGGUAGGUGAGACGGGAGGGGACGAGAUCGAUGAUAGGACGGUGGUGGAGAUCAUGGGCGGCGGACAGCACGGUGAUUCCUUAGGUAGGUAUCUAAAUCUCCGAAAGGUUGGCUCAUAACAUUCUUGAGGUUGCUAAGGCUAGCAUUACCAUUGGCUCCAUCGUAAAUGAAUUCCCACUUAAUUGUGCAGCCAGCAUCUUUCAUGUUGCGGGCAGAUUUGACAACAGUUAACUUGAUAUCAAAAGUGUCAAACAAGGUGGGAAUGAAGGCCCCAUCAUCAGUAAAAGUUGAGUCAAUAGUUAACUUUUCGUGGUCAACGUCUAGGAUCUUCUCAGUAGCCGACCCGACAACACGAUUGAAAAC